UCCAUAUUAUGGUUAUUGUGUGCGUGUAAAUAUGUUACGAGAAUGUCAGCAAGGUGUGGUAACAGAUAACAGCUGACUGUUAUCAGUGCAUCCAGCACACAGGAGGCACUCAGAAUAAGAUGUGUAGAAUGAAUGAAGACAACCUAUGUGCACAUCUGUAUGUGUGUACAAUGUAUGUGUUGCACAUGUGUACAAUGUGUAAAUCUCUAUGCAUUUAGGUGUAUGUGAUGUGUGUGUGUGUGUGUGUGUGUGUGUGUGUAAGGAAUGAACUAUUCACAGUCACAAGGGACUGCUUUAAAUAACUUCAAACCAUCAAUUCAGUAAAUAUUAGGAAAACAGGUGGGAAAUUAACCCUCAUGCAGGAUGGAAAGGGGCAUGUUGGUACUUUCCUUGGUGGGUUGAGUGGUGUCCUCCAAAGACACCCUAACCCCAGCGUGUGUGAAUGUGACCUUAUGUGGAAAAGGUUUCUUGCAGGUGUGAUUAGGUUGAGGAUCAUGUGGUGAGAUGAUCCUGGAUUGUCCAGGUGUCCCCAGGAUCCUUCGCAAGGCCCAGUGACAAGGUUCCUUAUAAGAGUGAAGAGGCUGAGGCCAUGUGAUCCCAGGGGCAGACAGUGGACAAUAGCCCCACCCAGCACCAGGCAGAAGAGAGAAAGGGCCCCACGGAGCCUCAAGGAGCACACUGCUUGCUCUGGAUUUCAUCAUGAGCCACCCUGAGGUGCCACAGCAGG
rnacentral:lncRNA from 1 species